ensembl:snRNA U1 U1 spliceosomal RNA
AUACUUAUGUGGCAGGAGGAGAUACUAUGAUCACAAAGGUGGUUUUCCCAGGGCGAGGCUUAUCCAUUGCACUCCAGAUGUGCUGACCCCUGCGAUUUCCCCAAAUGUGGGAAACUCGACUGCAUGAUUUGUGGUAGUGGGGGACUGCAUUUGUGCUUUCCCCUU